rnacentral:rRNA from 1 species
UACAGAGGGUGCGAGCGUUAAUCGGAAUUACUGGGCGUAAAGCGUGCGUAGACGGUUGCAUAAGUCGGAUGUGAAAUCCCCGGGCUCAACCUGGGAAUUGCAUUCGAGACUGUGUAGCUGGGGUGCGGAAGAGGAAAGCGGAAUUUCCGGUGUAGCGGUGAAAUGCGUAGAUAUCGGAAGGAACACCUGUGGCGAAAGCGGCGCACUGGACCACAACUGACGCUGAGGCGCGAAAGCUAGGGGAGCAAACGGG